UACGGAGGGUGCGAGCGUUGUCCGGAAUCACUGGGCGUAAAGGGCGCGUAGGUGGCCCGUUAAGUGGUUGGUGAAAUCCCGGGGCUCAACUCCGGGGCUGCCGAUCAGACUGGCGGGCUAGAGCACGGUAGGGGCAGAUGGAAUUCCCGGUGUAGCGGUGGAAUGCGUAGAGAUCGGGAAGAAUACCAGUGGCGAAGGCGUUCUGCUGGGCCGUUGCUGACACUGAGGCGCGACAGCGUGGGGAGCAAACGGG
rnacentral:rRNA from 1 species